ACAUGUGAGCGUGGGGGGACCAUGAAAUUAAGUGGGCUUGUUCUAUUUGGGGGGGCAUUAAUUCAUUCUCCCUUCAUUUAUGCAUCCACGCUGUCUUUUCCUUCUUACAUAGAAAUCACUUGGAAAAGCUUUGAUGAUCAUCCCAGAAGGUCACCUAACUUUUCCGUGCCUUGGUUUCCUCCCGUGUGAGGGUUGGAAUGCCACACAUCAGUCUGGACCCAACUCUUGAUGGAGCCAAGGCUGAUCUCCUACAGAACACAAGCCCCAGGAAGGCAGUUCAUCCAGUUCACAGCCAGACGCCAAGGGGGGCACGAAGAGCCUGGAAUGCCGGCCCAGCCCUUGAGAAGCUGACACCUGGUAGGAGUCGCCACGACCCGGAACAAAGCUCUUGGGCCUUGGACCCAUCAAACAUGAUUCCCCGAACUGGCUCCCGUACUCACCAGGUCCUUGUCCUGGGGCCAUGCACUUGGCCUCUCUGAACUCACGUGCUCGUCUGUGUAAUGGGGCACCUGAUAUCAGCGCCGAGGGCUGUCGGCUGGAGCGCGCAACUGCUCCAGCACAAUGCCUGACACGCACAAGGGCUCACUUACUCGUGAGCUUUCUGUAGGCAAGAGCCCCACGGUAUAGUCUCCCAGUAAUCUGUAUCCGCGUGACUUUGGACAAGCGACUGUCCGAGGCUCCGUUUGUCCAGCUGGAGAAAUGAGAUUCAAAAAGAACUACUUGCAAAUGGUCGUGAAGAAGCACAUUAAAAAAAAAAAAAAAAGAUGGUCGCUGCCAUCGUAUUUGCAAGAGCACAAAACAUGAGACGGCCUAAAUGCUCAUCAGUGGGACACUGGUCAAGUUAAUCAUGGCAUUGCCCACGCACGGGAAGAGUGUUCAGCAGUUUAAAGAGGUGAUCUGGGGAAGGAUCUCCAGGAUAUGUUGAUAAGUGAGGGGAAAAAAAAAACCCAAAGCAAAUGGCACAGCAGUUGCAUCCGUGUAAAAACACAAUUUAAAAGCUUCCCCUUGUGCAUUGCCUAGGAUCUGUGCACCGAUGCAGAGAGAAAUGUCUUGAACGAAACUCAGCAAACCAGGAAGAACGGAGCUGAGUUAAGCUGGAAUGGGAAGGAGAAAGGAAAGCAAAAGAAACUUCGCUGCUUGCCCUCACCUGAAAUGAUGGAAUUUAUUUUUUGCCACAAGAAUAUAUUACGCAUUCCUAUCGUCAACUGGAGAGUGAGGCGCGCACACACACACACACACACACACACACACAGGGAAGGUUAACGCUCCAGCGCGAAAGGACAGGAUUUCAGUCAACUUCGGUAAGAAUGAACAAAUCCCAAGGGCCUCUCGAGAGGAGGAUGGAAAUAAACUGGGGCCCGUGGGCAGACUGGAACCCUCCAUGCUAAUGGGAAGAAACAAACCCCAGCUACCCACAGCGCUGCUCUUUUUCUUGAUCUGGGCACACGUUACACCAGUUUGUUUGUGAAACUAAGCGGAACACUUAGGAUUUGUGCGCUCUUCGGCAGGUAUGCGAUAGUCCGUAAAAGUUCCAAAAAAAAUCAAUACUCAAAAAAAAAUGUUUUUUUUUAAUAUGACAGGAGGGAAAAAGCCCUUUAUCUUUCUAGGAAAAAAAAGAAAAAAGACCCCCCCCCCCCAUAAACCCGUCUUAACCAUUUGUGAAGCCUUUGGUGCAAGUAAAUAAUCAUUUAUUUAAUGAAGGGAGGAGCCCGUGCCUGUCAUCACAUUUUCAAAGGGAACCUUCACCCCCUGGAAGAUUAAGAACAAAAGCUGUGCUAUUUUGCAGGAGAGG